rnacentral:misc_RNA from 1 species
UGAAAUUUAAAAAUAACAAUAAUAAUAAUAAUAAAAAAGAUCUGCAAAUUCAAACAUUGUCACUCCCCACUAUCCAGGUAUACAAGAGCUGCCCCUUCCUUCUCCCCCUCCCCCCCAACUCUUUUCCUUCUUUUUCCUCUUCCUCCUCCUUUUCUUUCUCCCCUUUCUGUUCUUAUUGUUCUCUUCAUCCUUUCGCCAACUGUUUCAGGCUGUACACCUUUAUUGAAACAGGCUGCAAUGGCCAUUACACUUGAUAUGCUGCCAUUUUGCUAUGAUUUCAGAAUCAAAGAGGGUGUAUUAGAAAAUAUAUGAUUGGCCCUUCAAAAUUCUGUUACAUGUUAACUGAUGUAUUUACACUAUGCAAAUACAAUGGCUUGGAAGUUUUGAAUUGAAUAUUGAAGAACAUUUUCUAUAGAAGGGGAAAAAAUCUGAAAGAAAAUGCCUUUUAUGAAUUUAGAUUUAUUCCUUAUUUGUUUACCAGAAAAUCCCAAGAGAAACAUCUACAUACAAUGACAAUAAUCCAAAGAUAACAGAUUGUUUAUAGAGAAAAUAUGUAGAAUCUAACAAAAAAAAAAUUACAGUGCAUUGCUACCAAACGUGAAUUUCUGGUAACAACUGAAGAAAGAAAAAAAAGCACCUGAUCAGUUGUGCGGAUGUCAGG